ACAUGCCUACACUUUAGCGUUACUACAUCGAAUCCCAUUAGAACUCUACAGUUAAGUGCGCUUGGGCUAGAGUAGUACUGAGAUAGGUGACUGCCCGAGAAGUCCUAGUAUUUUACAUGCC
rnacentral:rRNA from 1 species